AGGCGGAGGCCCUGGGAGGGGAGCGGCGGGCGUCCAUCUUGUUCCUAUGUUUCACACUGGAGCACCUGCGCCAUCGCUGUCUGUCCUGACUGGACCAACCAAUUAUAGUGGAGCUCCUUAGCUCCCAGGAUACACCUCACCACCUCCCUGUCAGUCAAGGUGUGAAGGUGGUGCUUCUAGUGCUGUACCCUGAGAGGAAGGGCUCUGUCCAUGUAGACGAUUGGGGCCAAAUUAAGAAGAUGGUGAGCUCUGACCUGGGCUACAGGCUGGCCAGGUUUGACCCCUUAGCCAAGGCAGUGAGAGUGGACAGGGAGCUGGUCCACAGCUGCAUAGCAGGAGGGGUGCGUCACUUGAGUGGGUUGAGUCACUGACGUGGUCUUCCUGUCUGGGUUGGCUCCCCCCUUGUGUUGUGCCGUGGCGGAGAUCUUUGCGGGCUAUACUCGGCCUUGUCUCAGGAUGCUCUAGGGCCAUGCCUCAGGACUACCUGGCAUGAUGACUCCUUGCUGUCCCCAGUCCACCUGGCCGUGCUGCUGCUCCAGUUUCAACUUUUCCGCCUGCGGCUAUAGAACCCUGACCUGUUCACCAGACAUGCUACCUGUCCCAGACCUGCUGUUUUCAACUCUCUAGAGAGUGGUAGAGAUACUCUCAAUGAUCGGCUAUGAAAAGCCAACUGACAUUUACUCUUGAGGUGCUGACUUGUUGCACCCUCGACAACUACUGUGAAUAUUAUUAUUUGACCAUGCUAGUCAUUUAUGAACAUUUGAACAUCUUAGCCAUGUUCUGUUAUAAUCUCCACUCGGCACAGCCAGAAGAGAACUGGCCACCCCUCAUAGCCUGGUUCCUCUCUAGGUUUCUUCCUCGGUUUUGGCCUUUCUAGGGAGUUUUUCCUAGCCACUGUGCUUCUACACCUGCAUUACUUGCUGUUUGGGGUUUUAGGCAGGGUUUCUGUACAGCACUUUGAGAUAUCAGCUGAUGUAAGAAGGGCUAUAUAAAUUGAUUUGAUUUGAUUUGAUGUUUGAAUCCCCGAGCUGACUAGGUGUAAAAUCUGUUCAUGUGCCCUUGAGCAAGGCACUUAACCAUAAUUGCUCCUUUAAGUCGCUCUGGAUAAGAGCAUCUGCUAAAUGACUCAAAUGUAAAUGUACUCAAUGGAGAGCAGUUUAAUGGAGUAAUACAUCUAAUCAAUUAUCAUUUUAGCUGCAGCGUAGGUUGUGUCUGAGUGGGUGGAGACCUGUGGAUGGGCAUAGAGUCAGUGUGGAUAGUCUGUGGGAGAGGAGCAGUAGUUGGCCAUUUAACAGUCUUAUGGCCAGGGGAUAGAAGCUGUUUAGGAGUCUGUUUGUCUGAGCCUUGAUGCACCAUUACCGCCUCCCGGACGGGAGCACGGAGAACAGUCCAUGUCCUAGGUGGCCUUUCUCAGACACUGCCUGGCAUGUACAUCCUGGAUGGCUGGGAGCUCGCCUCGGUGAUGUGCUGGGCCAUCUGCAACACGCUCUGUAGGGCCUUCCAGUUGCGGGCGGUGCAGUUGUCAUACCAGAUGGG
rnacentral:lncRNA from 1 species